AUUAAUUCGAUGCAACGCGAAAACCUUACUACCCUUGACAUGUCCGGAAUCCCGAAGAGAUUUGGGAGUGCUCGCAAGAGAGCCGGAACACAGGUGCUGCAUGGCUGUCGUCAGCUCGUGUCGUGAGAUGUUGGGUUAAGUCCCGCAACGAGCGCAACCCUUGUCAUUAGUUGCCAUCAUUUGGUUGGGCACUCUAAUGAGACUGCCGGUGACAAACCGGAGGAAGGUGGGGAUGACGUCAAGUCCUCAUGGCCCUUAUGGGUAGGGCUUCACACGUCAUACAAUGGUCGGUACAGAGGGUUGCCAACCCGCGAGGGGGAGCUAAUCCCACAAAGCCGAUCGUAGUCCGGAUCGCAGUCUGCAACUCGACUGCGUGAAGUCGGAAUCGCUAGUAAUCGUGGAUCAGCAUGUCACGGUGAAUACGUUCCCGGGUCUU
rnacentral:rRNA from 1 species